GAUUGGUGGGAUUACACCUGCGGUGCAUCUUACGGGGAUAUAUGCGAAACUUGAUAAAUGUGGAAUGUAAAUGUCUUAGCACAGUAACAGAGAAAAACACCUGAAGGCUAUGUUAACCAUUGUGAUGAAAAUGUGUCAAACGGUCUAUGAAGCUAGUAUAUGAUGUCCCAUGAUCAUAUUAAUGUACACAGCCAUGAUUUAAUUAAAAAAAAAAAAGAAAGAAAUAUUUAAAAUGUAAGUUCCCAAUAUGGUGGAGUAGAGCAUGGUUUUAGAGGUCCACUGGGCACACUGGAGUGAGCCCCUUAGUGACUGGACCACAGGGUGUCUGGGGGCCCAUGGAGAAGCAGUCACUUCCCCACUGGUAUAGAAACAGUGAAAUUUUAAAGUGCCCAUUUGGCUGCACAGAUAUAUACCGUGGAACCUCAGCUCUGCUGGGAGCAAUCAUUGAGCCUCCAGUUUCAUGUGCUAAAGAACGUAAGGGUUUGGGCAGUGCCUGUGGCUCCGUGAGUAGGGUGCAGGCCCCAUAUGCUGAGGGUGGCAGGUUCAAACCCAGCUCAGGCCAAACUGCAACAAAAAAAUAGCCAGGCGUUGUGGCGGGCACCUGUAGUCCCAGCCACUCAGAGGCUGAGGCAAGAGAAUCACCUAAGCCCAAGAGCUAGAGGUUGCUGUGAUCUGUGACGCCACGACACUCUACCAUGGGUGAUGGAGUGAACUCUGUCUCUGAAAAAAAAAAAAAAAAAAAAGAAUCUAAGCGUUUGUCCCACCUCAAAAGAGGUAUUCACAGUUUCCAAAGGUUUCCCUUUAACGUAGCCCAGCCCAUACCUGUACCUCCACACAUACUGCAAGUCUCUGCCUUGAAUGCCACACAAAAACAAGAGUAUUCGCAGAUAAUUUAAUCAGGAUUUUAAUAUAAACAAGGUAAUUAUCUCAUAUUUUACAUGCAGAACAAUUUCAUUAUUCAAAAAAAAAGUCAUAUUCUGUACAUGGUGCUACUUGGCUCUAGUAGGAAAACAUUGAAAAAAAAUAAUUGAACUUUUGGUAGGUUUUGUGUUUCUGAGUUGUUUUCUGUAGAAUGGCAGCACAUCGGAUCCUGCCCUGGCAUCACACAGA